CUUAAAAUACAUUAAGCUAUUAAUUUGAUCGCAUUACUUCAGAACUCGAAGCUCUGAAAAAAAAAAAAAACGAGAGAGAGGGGGGAAGAGUGAGGAGAUGAUGCUAAGGACUCGAGUGCUAUGGUUCGGCGUAGGGUUUUCUGUGGUAGGAGCUGCGAUUUCCCAAUUAAUCUGGAGAGAUUCGUGGACCGAUCGACACGCUCUCUUUUCCGAUACGAAGCAGAAAUUUGAUGCUUUGGAAGCCAGACUGUUGAACCUCGAGGCAACUAUCUCUAAUCCAAAAUCGGAUUCCGGUCAGUUUUCUCUAGACCGAAUUACGAUUCCUGAUGCUCGGAAACAAAAAAAAAAAGUAUAUUUCCCGGCGUGACUCGCGAGAAGCUUCGGGACAAGCAAAUUAAACACAGAUAUUAUCUACAAAUGAGUUAAUCAUAAUGUCACUUUGAGAACUGUGUAAGAUAUUUCUAUCCAAGGCGGAAGGCUAGCUCAAUUUCAAGCAAAGAUCCAUAUUUCAGACAAGGAAAAGAGGACGACUAAAUAAGAUUUAUUAUCUACUAGGACGACUCGAUUGUUGGGUUUCUUAUACUGUGGAUUUAUUUUAACAGAAAUCUCAAGAUACUCUAGAUGAUCCACAAAUCUCGACUUGCCUGUCUUAUUAAUGUCUUGCUGCCUUGGAACAAGGAAAAGUCAGAGAAAUUUGGCUGCGUUUGUUUUGACGUAAGAGAAGGAAAAUAAGAAAAUAUUUUCGUACAAAACGAGUGAUUUUUAGAAGUUAA